rnacentral:rRNA from 1 species
GACGAACGCUGGCGGCGUGCCUAACACAUGCAAGUCGAACGGCCCGCCCCGUUGGAUCCCUUCGGGGAGAAGACGGGUUCCCGGGCAGUGGCGGACGGGUGAGUAACGCGUGGAGAACCUGUCUCUCAGUUGGGGAUAACCUGGCGAAAGUCGGGCUAAUCCCGAAUACGCUCUUGAGGUGGCAUCACUUUGGGAGGAAAGGUGCUUUCGGGCAUCGCUGAGAGGUGGCUCCGCGUCGGAUUAGCUAGCUGGUGGGGUAACGGCUCACCAGGGCGACGAUCCGUAGCUGGUCUGAGAGGAUGAUCAGCCACACUGGGACUGAGACACGGCCCAGACUCCUACGGGAGGCAGCAGUGGGGAAUCUUCCGCAAUGGGCGAAAGCCUGACGGAGCAACGCCGCGUGAACGAUGAAGGCCUUCGGGUCGUAAAGUUCUGUCCUCAGGGAAGAACCCUCAUGGGAGGAAAUGCCCAUGAGCUGACGGUACCUGGGAAGGAAGCCCUGGCUAACUACGUGCCAGCAGCCGCGGUAAUACGUAGAGGGCAAGCGUUGUCCGGAAUUACUGGGCGUAAAGGGUACGCAGGUGGAUAUAUAAGUCAAAUGUGAAAGGCACCGGCUCAACCGGUGAGCGGCAUUUGAAACUGUAUAUCUUGAAUUCAGGAGAGGAGAGCGGAAUUCCUGGUGUAGCGGUGGAAUGCGUAGAUAUCAGGAAGAACACCAGUGGCGAAGGCGGCUCUCUGGCCUGAAACUGACGCUCAGGUACGAAAGCUGGGGGAGCGAACGGGAUUAGAUACCCCGGUAGUCCCAGCCGUAAACGAUGGACACUAGGUGUUGGGGGUUCGAAUCCUUCAGUGCCGAAGCAAACGCAUUAAGUGUCCCGCCUGGGGAGUACGGUCGCAAGACUGA